rnacentral:lncRNA from 1 species
UCCUGAUCUCGUGAUCCGCCCGCCUCGGCCUCCCAAAGUGCUGGGAUUACACGCAUGAGCCACCACGCCCGACCUCUUAAAGUCACUUAUAUUAAAAUGUGCUACCAGAAAAUAAUUACAUGUGUAUAAGUAUGAGGCUAUUCUGUUAAAAAGGAUGGUUUAACAUUAACUACUGAUAAUUCGCGUAACCUAGCAAGUUUCUUAACGAGAGAUCCAAAUCAAAAAGAAAGCACACAUGUUUAGAUUUAACUGAUUACCGUACAAACGUCUGGCCAAACUUAAGAGAAACCCCCUUCAAAAGUGAUUAAGGGAAAAAGAAUGCAACAAGUGUUCAGUGGUUAAUGAAAGUUCCUAGAGAAAAUCAAAGUGUUUAAUAAUUAGUCUAUUCAAAUUUAUAAGCUGUCUGCACUUAGUCAAGCUUUAAAGUACCUGCAGGACCCGAAAGAACCAUAUAUACUAAUUGUAAAUACGCCUUUACAGUGGCUCAUACAUUUAGAAAAUUUCAUACUGAAUUAAUAGUAAAAGUUAAAGCCUUGUUUAUGAGGAGUUAGUCACCCAAGUAUUAAAUAACCUUCAGUUACCAGAAAAGAAAAAAAUAGCUAUUGUCCAUGUCCCCAGGCACCAAAAAGCCUGUCUUUCAAGAGUCAAGAAAAUAACCUAGCAAAUCAGAUAAGCCAGAAAAUAACCUAGCAAAUCAGAUAACGCUACAGGAGCAUUUCUCCUGUAGGUGCUAAAGGGAACUCAGAGAAAUGUUAUUCAGACCUCUUAUGAAGGAAGUCCUUUCUCCACCUACAUUAGAGGACUCAUUAAAGACCCCAAGCCAUGUAUAGCACAAAGUUUAUAUGUGUAUAGGAAUUUAUACCCUGAGCCAAACAAGUCUAGAGACUUGGUUGCCAUAAAUCAAAUGUCUUCUGACUUCUUAUUACUCUACUAAGAAUCCAAACUACCUCUCAAAGCAAUCCAACAUUCCUACAUACUUGGUUUAUCUUCCACUUUCUCUUCCCUCAGAACUCACAAUUUUCCAGUACAGGCGCCACCCCUAGAGUUUCCAGUACCUCGACACCAGCCUGAGGAGCCAGCCUAGUGCUUCUAACCACUGAAACUGCAGUCCAAACAGCAAGAAAAGAUAGACCCAUCACACCCAAGUCAAGAAAGCACCGCCAUCCCUGAAGUUGUGGGUCAUUAUCCAAGGGAAAAAACCCCUCAAACCUAAGUUCUGGAACUGGGAAGUCCAAGAUCAGGGCUCCUGCCCCUGGACCUGAACCUGGAUCUUUGGCUUUGAUGUUGGACCUUGUGUGUGGAUAUGAACUUUGAACCUGCACCUUGGAACUAAACCUCUGACUUGGAUUUGUUCUGCAUUUUGGAACUCACCUUAGACCUGAACCUUGGUCAUGAAAUGGAUCUGAAUCAUUCUUGGGUCUUGGACAUGGGACUUGGACCUCCAUGUGUAUCUUGGACUUAGGACCAUGAUCUGGACCUUGUAAAUUGACUUGGACUUUGGACUUGGACCUUGGACUAGAAUUUGUCCCUGGCUGUGGACCUCGUCUUUGGAUCUGGAUCUGGACCUGGUCUUGGAUGUUGGACCUAGAUGCAGGCCUUGAUUUGAUUUGGAACAUGGACUUGGUCCUUGCACAUGGCCCAACACCCGCGUCUUUGGAACUGCAUCUUGGACCUUGGAUCUGAAAUUUAAACAGGGAGGUGACCUUCAUUUCUUGUAUUUGACUUUAUAACUGGAAAUUCAAUCUCUACCUGGAUCUUGGACCUGGAUCUCAGACCUUGCUUUUUAUUGGGCCAUGGAUCUUAUACCUUAAACAUGGAAAUUGUACCUGGAUUUGGACCUUUGACUUGGACCUGGAUCUGGACCCAGGGAUAAGAUUUGGACCUCACUUGCAAAUUUUGGUAAUGAAAUUUUCCUUUGCUCCUGUAGUCCUUGGACCUAGGCUUCAGUCAUGGAUUUAGACCUUAGACGUGACCAUCAGACCUUAGAGUUGAACCUAAAUUCCUGGUCCCCAGUCCUAUAACUCAGAAUGAUUAUGCAUAACCUUGGACUUAGAACUUAGAUCUGGAUCUUAGAGCUGAUACUUGACCUGGUACUGGAUAUUUAACCUUGGACUUCAGACAUGGAUUUAAUCUGGGCCUUGGGAUGAUUUAAGAUCUAGAAGUGGACCUAGAAUUAGACCUUGGACUUAUGUGCCUGAGCCUGGACUUUGGAAGUGGACUUUGGGCCUUGUAACUCAACCUUGAAUAUGAGCCUCAAAUGUAGACUGUGGGCCAGGCACAGUGGCUCACAUCUGUAAUCCCAGCACUUUGGGUGGAAAGCUGAGGCAGGUGGAUCACUUGAGCUCAGGAAUUCAAGACCAGCCUGGGGAACAUGGUGAAAACCUGGCUCUACAAAAAAUAAAAAAAUUAGCCAGGCUUGGUGGCACACACCUGUAGUUCCAGGUACUCAGGAGGCUGAGGCAGGAGGUUCACUUGGGCCCAGGAGGCAGAGGUUGCAGUGAGCUGAGCUUGUACAGCUGCACUCCAGCCUGGAGGACAGAGUGAGACUCUGUCUCAAGAAAAAAAAAUAAAAAAUAAAUAAAUAAAUAAGAGAAAAUACA